AAGUAUCAGUGCAUCAAUGUUUACCACUGGUGGAGAGGAUUACAAACAGAAUAAAAUGCUGGACUUCUAAGAUCUUAUCUUACAGUGGUCGAUUACAGGUGAUAAAAAGUGUACUAUUUGAAAUGCAAGCAUACUGGGGACAGGUUUUCAUCAUCCCAAAGAAGAUCAUACAGUUAGUAAACAAUGUCUGUCGAAUCUUCCUAUGAACAUGCAACUACAGCCCCCCAAAAAGAGCUCUAGUUGCAUGGGAAAGAGCAUGUAUGCCUGUUUCUGCAGGGGGUUAAAUGUAAUCAGUUUUGACUGGUGGAACAAAGCUGCUAUAUGUAAAAUGAUGUGGGCAAUACACAUGGAGAAAGAUGCGAUACAUACCAUGUACAUAUAGAAGAAGAACUUCAAUGUGAUGCAGACACCGGGACAAGCUAGCUGGCUAGUAAGAAGAUUUUUUAUGUUAAGGACUGGUACAAGAAAAUAGAAACAAUCGCAAACAUAGAUAAAUUAUGUGUGAAAGGCAAAUUCAGUAUCCACAAGAUGUAUACUCUAUCAAGACCUCAGUACCCUAAAGUUGAAUGGAAAGCAUUGACACUAGGAAAUGGUAAUCCUAGGCAAAAAUUUGUCCUGUGGUUGACUUUGAAUCACAGACUGACUAUUGUAGAUCGCCUUGCAAAAUGGGAAAUCCAAGUUGAUCAGAACUGUAUAUUAUGUAAGAAAGGACAGACUGAAAAGAUGCAACAUAUAUACUUUGAAUGUCAAUAUACAAGAUAUAUUUGGAGCAAACUGUUAGCCUGGAUGGGGGAAAAUCACUAGAUAAGCAUAUAGUUUGAAGAAGUUACCUGGCCGAGGAAACGAGCAAAUAGUGGUCGAGCCCAAAAUAGUAUUCUAGUCUUCUUAUUUGCUGCAGUAAUGUAUCAAGUAUGGACAGAAAGGAAUAUGAGAAGAUUUCAAGGGAAGGAGAAGGAAGCAGAGAGAAAGGUUAGAGACAUUGUCCUUCAAAUCCACAUCAAAGGACAACAAAAUGCAAAAUGGAAGAAGAGACUUGAGCAGCUAAAUAAUUUCCCAUAGGAAUAUAUGUCAAUUUUGUUUAGGCUGUUUGUAU
rnacentral:lncRNA from 1 species